AAUGAACGUUGGCGGCGUGGAUUAGGCAUGCAAGUCGUGCGAGAAGUCUUUUGCUUGCAUUAGACGGAAAGCGGCGAAAGGGGGAGUAACGCGUGGAUACCUACCUCCAGGUUCGGGAUAGCUGCGGGAAACUGCGGGUAAUACCGAAUGACAUCUCCGGAUCAAAGGUGUGAUUCCGCCUGGAGACGGGUCCGCGUCCUACUAGCUUGUUGGUGGGGUAACGGCUCACCAAGGCGACGAUGGGUAUCAGGCGUGAGAGCGUGACCUGACUCACUGGGACUGAGACACUGCCCAGACACCUACGGGUGGCUGCAGUCGAGAAUCUUCGGCAAUGGGCGCAAGCCUGACCGAGCGACGCCGCGUGCGGGAUGAAGGCCCUCGGGUUGUAAACCGCUGUCAGUUGGGAGGAAAUCACAUGGGGUUCUCUCCAUGUGUUGACCUAUCUUCAGAGGAAGGACGGGCUAAGUUCGUGCCAGCAGCCGCGGUAAGAC
rnacentral:rRNA from 1 species